AAUACGCAGAGGAAAAAUGAGGUACAAAGGUAAACUGGCCAAGAAUAUUAAGGAGGAUAGUAAAAACUUUUUUAGGUAUGUGAAAGGCAAAAAAAUGGUUAAGAC